GUAGGGUGCGAGCGUUAAUCGGAAUGACUGGGCGUAAAGGGUGCGCAGGCGGUCUGUUAAGACGGAUGUGAAAGCCCCAGGCUUAACCUGGGAAUAGCAUACGUGACUGGCAGACUAGAAUAUGGCAGAGGGAGGUGGAAUUCCAUGUGUAGCAGUGAAAUGCGUAGAGAUGUGGAGGAACACCGAUGGCGAAGGCAGCCUCCUGGGCCGAUAUUGACGCUCAGGCACGAAAGCGUGGGGAGCAAACAGGAUUAGAUACCCUGGUAGUCCACGCCCUAAACGAUGUCAACUAGUUGUUAGGGAAAUUUUUCUUUAGUAACGUAGCUUACGCGUGAAGUUGACCGCCUGGGGAGUACGGUCGCAAGACUA
rnacentral:rRNA from 1 species